CCCUUAGACGUUCUGGGCCGCACGCGCGCUACACUGACCAGUGCAACAAGCAUCCGUCCUUGGCCGACAGGCCCGGGCAAUCUUUGAACGCUGGUCGUGAUGGGGAUAGACUUUUGCAAUUUUUGGUCUUCAACGAGGAAUUCCUAGUAAACGCAAGUCAUCAACUUGCAUUGAUUACGUCCCUGCCCUUUGUACACACCGCCCGUCGCACCUACCGAUUGAAUGGUCCGGUGAAGCCUCCGGAUUGGCGCGCACCUCGGUGCCGCCGAGAAGUUGGCUAAACCUUACCAUUUAGAGGAAGGUGAAGUCAUAACA
rnacentral:rRNA from 1 species